rnacentral:misc_RNA from 1 species
CUGCCGCUUUGCAAUCUGCCCCACAAGCCUAUCCCCAUUCUUUGUGUAUGCCACAACAGAAGGUGUAGUCCUCUGACCCUCUGCAUUUGUCACAAUCGUCGGCUUCCCUCCCUCCAUUGCUGCAACUGCAGAAUUGGUGGUACCCAGGUCAAUUCCCACUACCUUCUCAUUCACUACUCUCAAAGGGCCAGUGCUAUACCUUCUCCUUGUAGUGUUACUGCAUCUCAGAAAAGCCGCCUUUUGCGACCUUAGAUUUUGACCAAAGAAAACAGUCUUCUGUGAAAAAGAAAAACUAUGUUUUCUCGAGGAAGAGGAAGAAAACCCAACACCACCUAGAACGUGAAUCUGAGCGGUUGAAGAAGCCAUUCUCUAGGAUUUUGUAUGGAAUUAGAUUUAAUAAAAUCUACCUCUAGAAAUGGGAAUUACAGCAGGAGAAUGAACUUGUUCAAAAUCCUAACAACAAAUUGGGGGAGAAUUAGGAUAAAACCCUAACUCAGCUUUUGAGCUUGUGGGUAUGCAGAAGCUAAAGCACGGAGAAGAUAGAGAAGCGAAGGGUUUUGGGCUUAUAGAGG